rnacentral:rRNA from 1 species
UAGGGAAUCUUCGGCAAUGGGGGCAACCCUGACCGAGCAACGCCGCGUGAGUGAAGAAGGUUUUCGGAUCGUAAAGCUCUGUUGUAAGAGAAGAACGUGUGUGAGAGUGGAAAGUUCACAUAGUGACGGUAACUUACCAGAAAGGGACGGCUAACUACGUGCCAGCAGCCGCGGUAAUACGUAGGUCCCGAGCGUUGUCCGGAUUUAUUGGGCGUAAAGCGAGCGCAGGCGGUUUAAUAAGUCUGAAGUUAAAGGCAGUGGCUUAACCAUUGUUCGCUUUGGAAACUGUUAAACUUGAGUGCAGAAGGGGAGAGUGGAAUUCCAUGUGUAGCGGUGAAAUGCGUAGAUAUAUGGAGGAACACCGGUGGCGAAAGCGGCUCUCUGGUCUGUAACUGACGCUGAGGCUCGAAAGCGUGGGGAGCAAACAGG